UACGUAGGGUCCGAGCGUUGUCCGGAAUUAUUGGGCGUAAAGGGCUCGUAGGCGGUCUGUUGCGUCGGGAGUGAAAACUUACAGCUUAACUGUGAGCGUGCUUCCGAUACGGGCAGACUUGAGGCAUCCAGGGGAGAACGGAAUUCCUGGUGUAGCGGUGAAAUGCGCAGAUAUCAGGAGGAACACCGGUGGCGAAGGCGGUUCUCUGGGAAUGUCCUGACGCUGAGGAGCGAAAGUGUGGGGAGCGAACAGG
rnacentral:rRNA from 1 species